rnacentral:rRNA from 1 species
AUAUACUAAGGCGUUGAGAGAUUCAUGGCUAAGGAACUAGGCAAACUGACCCCGUAACUUCGGGAUAAGGGGUCCUCACCUCCGGGUGAGGCGCAGAGAAUAGGUCCAGGCAACUGUUUAACAAAAACACAGGGCUGUGCGAACUCGAAAGAUGAAGUAUACAGCCUGACACCUGCCCGGUGCCGGAAGGUUAAGAGGAGAUGUCACCGCAAGGGAAGCAUUGAAUUGAAGCCCCGGUAAACGGCGGCCGUAACGAUAACGGUCCUAAGGUAGCGAAAUUCCUUGUCGGGUAAGUUCCGACCUGCACGAAUGGUGUAAUGAUCCGGACGCUGUCUCGGCCAUGAGCUCAGUGAAAUUGUAGUAUCGGUGAAGAUGCCGAUUACCCGCGAUGGGACGAAAAGACCCCGUGAACCUUUACUACAGCUUAGCAUUGACCUUGGUCAUCCGAUGUGUAGGAUAGGCCGGAGGCUUCGAAGCGGCGUCGCCAGGCGUUGUGGAGCCAUCCUUGAAAUACGGCCCUUUGGCUGUCUGAGGUCUAACGCGGAUAGUCGCGGACACUGCUUGGUGGGUAGUUUGACUGGGGUGGUCGCCUCCAAAAGCGUAACGGAGGCUUCCAAAGGUGCCCUCGGGCCGUUUGGUAAGCGGCCUUCAAGAGUGCAAUGGCAAAAGGGCGCUUGACUGGGAGGGAGACAUCCCGAGCAGGCAGGAAACUGGGGCAUAGUGAUCCGGCGGAUGUGUAUGAAACUCCGUCGCUCAAAGGAUAAAAGGUACUCCGCGGAUAACAGGCUGAUCCCCCCCAAGAGCUCAUAUCGACGGGGUGGUUUGGCACCUCGAUGUCGGCUCGUCACAUCCUGGGGCUGGAGAAGGUCCCAAGGGUUGGGCUGUUCGCCCAUUAAAGUGGCACGCGAGCUGGGUUCAGAACGUCGUGAGACAGUUCGGUCUCUAUCUAUCGUGGGCGCAGGAGUUUUGAGUGGUGCUGUCACUAGUACGAGAGGACCGUGACGGACAGACCUCCGGUGUACCGGUUGUGCCGCCAGGCGCACCGCCGGGUAUCCGCGUCUGGAUCGGAUAAGCGCUGAAAGCAUCUAAGUGCGAAGCUUUCCACGAGAUUAGAACUCCAUUGAGGGUCGUCGCAUACGACGACGUUGAUAGGGCGCAGGUGUAAAGACGGCGACGUCAAAGCCGAGCGCUACUAAUUGCCAAG